AAAAUGGUUUUGUUCUGUCAUGCAUUCUCCUUGACUGUUACUUUAAAAAAUCAUUUUAAUUAGCUUGUACUCCCACGUUACAAAAAGAACACAGUCAGCGUGUGUCUAUUUUACCAUUUAACUACAAUAAUAAAUCUAAUAAACAUAUUUUGCGUUUGCUUGCGGAUUAAACGUGUUUUAUUAUUUUAUUGAAGGUUCUGUUUCAAAUUAAAUGCUACAGGCCUCUUGCUACUGUUUUCAUGAAAUUCAAGAGGAUUUAAUUUUUUAAUGAACCAAUCAACUUAACCUAGCUUAAAACGACAAAAUCUUGUUCCCGUUUAUGACAUUUAAUUGAACAAAACAUUUAAAUAAUACCGUCAAAGUAAUAUUAUUUAAUACGUAUAAAAUGGGUCAUUUUUCCACAAAUUGCCAGGCAAAUCUCGGUUUCCUGUAGUAUUCAAAACACAUGCAAUCAUGUGGCUUUGUUUUGUUGCCUGUAGAAUUCAAAUAGAUUAAAAGGACAAGCAUUGUGCAGACAUGUUACUCACGUACAGACAGUUCAUCAUGGACAUGGGUGUCUUAAAUCACAAUCCCAGCCCAAUAGUUGUACACGUAGCACAUAUCUAGAUGAAGAAGCGUUCGUACGCAUACUCCCACUCACUGAAAACACGGACAAUAAAAAAUACGUAGGCUAUGUAUCAGUUUAGUACACAGCGAAGCAAACAUUUCAUGAGCAAAAAAUUCAUAAGAUGAGUUCGAUUUAUGAGUUGAAACAACAGGUGGAAAAAUGUAUCAUUGUCUUAAUAGAACUUGCCGAAUUAACAAAUUAAUGUGUGGAUGAACUCCGACGUUCCUCCGAGUUUAACACAGAACAAGUUUAUCACACCGGAACCUAACGGAUGUAUUACAAUUAUGAAUUCGUUUGGAUUUUACAUCUGAACUUAAACUUUGCUUCAGAUUCAAUUAAAUUGUAACGUGCUUCAUCCUCAAGUGCAGAAUUUUUUAUUCGUCAGUUUGUAUGACCACCGGUUGCAUUGUAUUUCGUAAGAAAAUGAAAAUAUCUUAAAUUCCCACAUAUGUUAAAACAAAGCGCAUUGGGGUUAGAUUGCAUCCGAAUUUUAUUGUUUUAUCUCCAUUUGCAUGGUUACUGCUGCUUGUGAUCCAAAAACUGGCAUAUUAAAUUGGUUACAUUUUCCGCUAUGCAUAGCUUUAUGCUUUACCAUGUAGGCUAUAUAUGCAAGAGCUAUCUGUAGGCCUAGUUUACACUACUCGUAUCGACAUACGAGUGUACUGCUGAGUUUAUUACAUGCUGCUACUGCUUUCACUAAUGGCAACACCAAUUCUAUAGAAAGCAAUUGUACCAUGAUGUAAUAGAAAUUUGCUAGUAAAAGAUGGUGGCACUGAGCUCCAAGUUAUAUCCAUAAAAUAGUUUUAAAUACACAGUCGAUGUCUGACUUAAUUUCUCAAAUUAUAAUCAAUACAGUCGCUGGCAGAAAAACGUAAGCAUACACAAUCUCUUAAUAUAAUGUUUUAACUUAAACUUGUUUAAUAUGUCGCAUUCAUUCACUAGGGAAAGUUCAAAUUAAGGCUAACAAUUAAGAAUAUCAUUAUAUUCUUCAUAUAGUUUCAUAACGGUAACUAAAAUAAUGUAAUUUGAUUUCAUGGCGUUAAAUAUGUUAAUUUUGCAAAAGAAACGCGUGUAUGAUACAUACCACUCGUCGUCACUGGUGUCAGUAAUGAAAAUAUCGUAUUGUUAAUUCUUAUAUCUUAUUCUUAAUUACAGUAGCAAUAUAUUUUCUUUAAAUUAAGGCAAACAGUUGUAAACUGCAUUUCAAUUUACAGUGACAUUCAGUCUGAAAGCUUUGAAAACAAAAGUGACUGUGCACACAUACGACCAAGUCUUUUACAAACUUAUCUUGUCGUUCUGCUUCUAUUACAAAUUAAUGUUUCGUGUUGAUCAUUUCAAAAGCAAUUCAUAAAAUGAGAAUAUGUUCGGCUAUCUGUUGAUGUUUAACUCAGUAUUUUUUAAUACUGGUUUUAAAACAUUACCCGCCUUAUACAUGUUAUUAUUUUUAGUCGAUUGGUACCUCAAAAGAUGCCAUUACCUACGUUUCAAAUAAACAGAAGAUUUUUUAAAUAUAAUUUUAAAUAAUCCGUGAAUUUCCCCUAUGACUGAAUAGAAACGUCUCAUAAAUGACAAGAUAGUUAAAACUUAAUCGUUUUAUGGUAUGAUUUAUGCUAUAGCCUUCUUUGAAAUCAUUGGCGUAGUGCAUUAUUCGCUAUCGGGGCAAUGACUGCUUUUCACCUAGUCACCCUGAAACAUUUAAUUAAACAUACCUGGAUCCACAUUUGCAAGUCUUUCACGGCACUCGGGCGUUUUCCAUUUAGAAAUAGCUAACAAAGUCAGUUUCUCCCACUUGUUGCGUCACUUCAAACUCACACUCUUAAACUCUGUACAUCUGCAAUAGCCAUAUUAGCCUAGUAUUCUAUGUUCUAAACCAAGACAAUUAAUAGCCUAUGUUGUUUUCGAUAUGCUGAUCUGUACAAAUCGAAGAAAACGUUAAAUCAUUACUCAGUAUUAAGGGCAAAGCGCCAUGAGAUUAAAUUUAAUAGACCCGAAACGUCCAUCUUGUAUAAUAUAAUUUCUUCUUUAUCACUUUUUUAACUGAGUUAAAAAAUAAAUUAAAAAAGUGCUCAUUGCCUGUUUCACAACAUUAAUUGUAAGGCAGACCGUGAAAUCAACGAAUCGAGUGUUGGAAACAAAUAAAAAAUGACUAAAAUCUGGCCUGCUUCACAUAGACAAAAUCCAAUGUCAUCACAUUUAAUCUGAUCAUCUGUUUAUUUAAUUAAUUCAGGGGGGGGACAGGAUACAGUAACAAUUUCAGGUCAGUUAAUUUCACGUUUCAUGUGCGAAUACGAGUGCAUCUGUACGUUUUACUAUUAAAUCCUUGCUGGUUGAAUCAGAUCUCCAUUUUCCACAAAUUAUAAUAACAAUAUGAGUCAUCAUGCUUACCAGCACCACCAUCAUCAUCAUCAUCAUCAUCGUCGUCUGAAAAGAUUGAAUCAUUGGGUCACAUUUGUUACAUUUAGUUCAUUUGUACAUAUUUACCACUUUGGCGUAGGCUACAUUAGUAAAUUAGUGAAGUUUUUUUCAGGACAUGUAUUACUUCCGAUAUUGACAUGUGUAAACACGUUUACGACACUGAUGGUUCAUUAAUGACACAAAUAACUACAGAAUAGCAUGAAUAAAUUACAGGUUAUACUGACGUCACUCCGCAAAUAACCGCAAGGACGUAGAUGUCACCCCGCUUCCGCGCCGAAGCCAGUUCGCUAUUGGUCGUUUAAAAGGCUUCUGUUUUACUUGCAACUGCAUCACUGAGUUUUGUAAUAGAAUAAAACUUACUUGCGACAGUUAAAUAAACGUUACGCCCUCUCCAUUUUGAAGAUAUUCCAUCACUACACAAUAAUAACUAUGACUGUGAGUUUGUUAAAUAAAUUACACAUCUGAUUGUACGAAUGAAAUACAUUUGUUUUGGCCUAGUUUUGAAAUAAUAUUCUGCGUGAAAUGAAUUUGCGGUUUCAGUGAUCAGAAACUCAUUUUAGAAAUGUGAACAUUGUGCUUACUAAACUAACACUGUUCCCGGGAAAGAAAACAUUUGAUAACCUCAUAAUAUUAUACUGUAGCCUGAAUGUGAUUUAUGCUAAGAAGACUAUAAGCGAUCAAUCUUUGUUCAGUGUUUGAGCAAAGAAAUACAUGAACAUUAACAGGUAACAUAACAGGCAAAAAAUAAAACAAGUCCAAAGUCGUGUAAUUUCGGAAUAAAACACUUAGAAAACCUUAUAAAGCUUUUGUGUUUGUAAUUAACGGGGGAGACAGAAUGUGAUACAUUAAAAAGACGAGCAUGCCAAAAAAAAAAAAAACAUUCGUUCGAAAUGAACAAGAAUGACACCAAAACUUCUAUACAUUAUAUAAUCCAUUAUUAUUCGUUAAAAAUAUCAACGCUUGUUGUUUUCCCAGCGCAAACAUGUUUUUUUUCUGGCUACGUUCAUUUCUCCUGCAGCACUUGGUUGCUUAUAGCUUUCACUUGUUGCAUUUAUAAUACCAAUGCAGCGGGUGAUGAAGACAUCGGCAGCGGCGCUGAGUAUAUUCAUACCUAAAUGUACUGUCAAUUCUGGCACUUUAGAAUUUCGCCAGUAAAACGCUGUAUUUUUCUCAAGUUGUAGGCCUAUCGUGUUUAAAAAGCGACAUUCGACAUAUUAAAUGAGAAACAGUUCCUUACCUGAAGAACAGUGUUUUCCAAUGCUUUUCACCACAAAAGGACAGGAGGAUAUUUUGUAUGUUUUAAGGUGUGUGUGUGUGUGUGUGCCAUUGUAAUACAAUAUCCUCCACCAUACAAAAACCUCCUGUGUAAAUGCAUAUAAAUAUUAUAUUUUACAGUAUUCAGGACAGUCAUUUUCUAACUGAGGAAAUGAAAGGAAAUUACUUAAGGGGAUUAAUUCAUAAUCAUCUUUUUAUGCCCGAAGGAAACUUGAAAACUGCAUUAAUGAGAUAAAGUUAGAUUAAUCUAUUCCAUAAAUGUGUUAAUUAUGAAAAAGCCUAAUUGCGAUGCCUCCUUGCAUGUAAACUUUUAUGUUAAAAAAAUGCACUUUUUUGAUUGCCAGCCUAAAAGCUGGUAACAGGUUACUUUAUAUAUGAUAUUAAAAAACUUAUAUGGUAACGCAUUUCAGGUACUUUGGUGGAAAAGGAAUAUCAAAAUACCUCUUUCUGCUAAUAGCGAUGAGUCCAAAUAGUAAAUUCAUGUAUACAAUGACAAAAAAUAGUAAAUGAUAUCUGCCAAUACAUUGACUGUGUUAAAUAAGCUAAAAUAGCAUUCUUUUGUCCCUUUACUGUAUACUUCCCAUUGAAUUAUAUUUAAAAAGGUCUAACCAUCGUUUUGCAUCACUGCCCUGGGUUGAGAUUGGUUAAUUAAUUGUCUUUAGAUAUCCGGAAUCUUUAUGAUAGGGCAGAAGUGGCUUUGCACUGGCAGAAGGAAAUGUGCAAGUGGUCUUUUUGCUUUCCCUUUCUUGUGGAUAUUGACCUCAAGAAUCAAUCUACACUGGGCUUUAAUUUUAAUAAAAACAUCCAAGUGCUACAAUUGACAGCAUAAAACACUAUGUUUUGCUUACCCCAAUUACAAUAAUCACAAUACUCAUCAAAGUGUGCUUAGAAGGAAAAUCAUUUUUUUAAAUCAAAGUUAUUUGCCGUUAUUAUUAGAAUGAGCUUAAUCUCUUAUUCCAGUUAUUGUAAAAUAUUGUCUACAUUGAUCCCCACAAUGAACCCACUUCAGAAGACAUUUUGUACUUGGUAAAAUACAUAAAGUUAUUGGAGUGAAGUGCUCUGGUCUAAAACAUUGGGGGAAUUGAUUAAUCCACAUAUCCGUGUGUGUAGGCUGGAAAACAGUGUUUGCAAAGAUGUUUUCAUUUGAAAGAAGCAGUGGAGAGUGGAAAAGGUGGAGAGUUUCCUUGAGAGUUUAAUCCUCACAAGGAAAUACUAUAAAUUCUAACUUUCUGGAAAUGUGUUGAGAUUCAAGAAUAAGUGGUGCUCUUGCUGAGAGAAUGUAUGUUAUAUUCAGCAACAUAACCACUCCUUAGGAGGAGGGACGGCAGGCUAGCGGGACGUAGCAGCAUGCUGCAGUAGAAUGGCAGUGUGUUGUUCUGGGUUAAAGCAUUGCUACAGCAGCCCCAUAGCAGCCACGUGUUACCUUAUUUAUUUGAUAAAAGGUUCAGUGGUGUGAUGGGACUCCACAAUGUUGAGUCGGAUGAAUACAUCAAAGUACACAUUAUAGCGGAGGUAGGUAACCCUGGUUCGGGAGUGCUUCCGGUGUUUUUUAUCGAAAUGUCCAGCUACAUACCUGGAUGAAGUGUUGGGCUCGGUGAACACAGGUGACAUUUGUUGACGUUCUCAUUUCACCAUUUGCUCUGAACAUUCAGGUUCAGACGUUAAACGAUCUGCCAGACUGUGGGGUCAAGCUCAGACUGAAUGAACGAAGACCAGAAACAUUUUUCACACUCUGUUACCCACCCCAGAGCUUUGAAGGUAAGAGAAUUAAGUCAGAAUAUGAUUCAUUUCAGAACAUUCACACAGGGAACAAUGCAGCAUAAUGCAAUGUUGCAUAAUUGCAGGUCUGAUUGCCAGCUGGGCAUCUGUUCAGUGUCCUGUUCAAAGGCCAUUUAACUGAAUUGCAUCAGUGAUUGUCCUGCUGUUUUAACAGUUGAUAUGUAAUAAAUACAUAAUUGUCUGGCUUCAAGCAGCAUUUGUCUUUACCGGUGACUAACCUAUCACCAAAGUCGACUCACCAAACUGUGUUUGAAAAAAAAAAAAAAAA